rnacentral:rRNA from 1 species
CAAAAUUGGCGGGGACCUCUACCGGGAAGCAGCAAACUCCCUCGAAUUUAUUGACGGACCCCCGGGGGCAGGCAGAAAACCCGAAAAAAUGGGUGGGCGGCAGGACGGGGGAGGUAAGACUUCCCUCACAGAGGAGGGAGCGGCUAACUCUGUGCCAGCAGCCGCGGUAAUACAGAGGGUGCAAGCGUUAUUCGGAAUUACUGGGCGUAAAGCGCGCGUAGGCGGAUUGUUAAGUCGGUUGUGAAAGCCCUGGGCUCAACCUAGGAACGGCGAUUGAAACUGGCAGUCUAGAGUUUAGUAGAGGAAAGGGGAAUUUAUGGAGUAGCAGUGAAAUGCGUAUAUAUCAGAAGGAACAUCAGUGGCGAAGGCGCCUUCCUGGACUAAAACUGACGCUGAGGUGCGAAAGCGUGGGGAGCAAACGGGAUUAGAUACCCCGGUAGUCCACGCCCUAAACGAUGUCUCUAGCUGUUGGUCUUAUUAAAAACAUUGGUGUCGCAUUUAACGCAUUAAGUUGACCCCCUGGGAAGUCCGGCCGCAGGAUUAAAACUCAAAUGAAUUGACGG